rnacentral:rRNA from 1 species
UGGGGAAUAUUGGACAAUGGGCGAAAGCCUGAUCCAGCCAUGCCGCGUGUGUGAAGAAGGUCUUCGGAUUGUAAAGCACUUUAAGUUGGGAGGAAGGGCAUUAACCUAAUACGUUAGUGUUUUGACGUUACCGACAGAAUAAGCACCGGCUAACUCUGUGCCAGCAGCCGCGGUAAUACAGAGGGUGCAAGCGUUAAUCGGAAUUACUGGGCGUAAAGCGCGCGUAGGUGGUUUGUUAAGUUGGAUGUGAAAUCCCCGGGCUCAACCUGGGAACUGCAUUCAAAACUGACUGACUAGAGUAUGGUAGAGGGUGGUGGAAUUUCCUGUGUAGCGGUGAAAUGCGUAGAUAUAGGAAGGAACACCAGUGGCGAAGGCGACCACCUGGACUAAGACUGACACUGAGGUGCGAAAGCGUGGGGAGCAAACA